rnacentral:rRNA from 1 species
GACGAACGCUGGCGGCGUGCUUAACACAUGCAAGUCGAACGGAGUGGCGAACGGGUGAGUAUUACGUGAGUAACCUGCCCUCAACUGUGGGAUAAGCCUGGGAAACUGGGUCUAAUACUGCAUGGGAUGGGCUCGCGGCCUAUCAGCUUGUUGGUGGGGUGAUGGCCUACCAAGGCGGUGACGGGUAGCCGGCCUGAGAGGGUGGUCGGUCACACUGGGACUGAGAUACGGCCCAGACUCCUACGGGAGGCAGCAGUGGGGGAUUUUGCACAAUGGGCGCAAGCCUGAUGCAGCGACGCCGCGUGAGGGAUGAAGGCCUUCGGGUUGUAAACCUCUUUCGCUGGGUUGAUUUGAACUGGUAAAGAAGUACCGGCUAACUACGUGCCAGCAGCCGCGGUAAUAC